GGGUUGUUAGCUCAGUUGGUAGAGCAGCGGACUCUUAAUCCGUAGGUCGAAGGUUCGAAUCCUUCACAGCCCACCA
rnacentral:tRNA from 2 species